UACGGGGGGGGCAAGCGUUGUUCGGAAUUACUGGGCGUAAAGGGCUCGUAGGUGGCCAACUAAGUCAGACGUGAAAUCCCCAGGCUCAACCUGGGAACUGCGUCUGAUACUGGAUGGCUUGAAUCCGGGAGAGGGAUGCAGAAUUCCAGGUGUAGCGGUGAAAUGCGUAGAUAUCUGGAGGAACACCGGUGGCGAAGGCGGCAUCCUGGACCGAGAUUGACGCUGAUGCGCGAAAGCCAGGGGAGCAAACGGG
rnacentral:rRNA from 1 species